rnacentral:rRNA from 1 species
UACGAGUGCCCCAAGCGUUAUCCGGAAUCAUUGGGCGUAAAGGGUGUGUAGGUGGUUGUAUUAGUCUUCUGUUAAAUUCUUCGGCUCAACCGGGGACAUGCGGAGGAAACGGUACGACUAGAGGAUGCGAGGGGAAUAUGGAACUCAUAGUGGAGGGGUGAAAUCCGUUGAUAUUAUGGGGAACACCGAAAGCGAAGGCAGUAUUCUGGCGCAUUCCUGACACUGAAACACGAAAGCGUGGGUAGCGAAUGGG